GAUGAACGCUGGCGGCGCGCCUAACACAUGCAAGUCGAACGGUUAAAGCACCUUUUAGGUGUGUAUAAAGUGGCGAACGGCUGAGUAACACGUGGGCAACCUGCCCUCCUCUUGGGGAUAGCCUCGGGAAACCGAGGAUAAUACCCGAUACUUCAAUGUGGCCGCAUGACGACAUUGAGAAAGCUUUUGCGGAGAAGGAUGGGCCCGCGGCCUGUUAGCUUGUUGGUGGGGUAGAGGCCUACCAAGGCAAUGAUGGGUAGCUGGGUUGAGAGACCGACCAGCCAGAUUGGGACUGAGACACGGCCCAGACUCCUACGGGAGGCAGCAGUGGGGAAUCUUGCACAAUGGGCGAAAGCCUGAUGCAGCGACGCCGCGUGCGGGACGAAGGCCUUUCGGGUUGUAAACCGCUUUUCAGCAGGGACGAGGCGAAAGUGACGGUACCUGCAGAAGAAGCCCCGCUA
rnacentral:rRNA from 2 species